GGGGUUGUGGCUCAGCGGUAGAGCGCUUGCCUAGCAUGCACCGAAGCCCUGGGUUCGAUUCUCAGCACCACA
rnacentral:tRNA from 1 species